AUGGAGAGCAUCCCCUCAGAUAUAGUUCAUUUGCCCCGCCUGUCCUAUAUGCUUCUUCCAAAUUGGACAAAGCUGCCUGAAGGUAUCGGGAAUAUGAAAUCACUGCGGACUCUGCGAGGGCUUGACAUGGAAAAGAGCUCGCUGAAGUGUUUUAUGGGGCUCAGCAAGCUGACCAAUCUGAGUGAACUGCAUAUGUCAGUAGGUUUUAGUUUGGGGUUUCCAAACGUUGAUGCUUUGGCUUGCUCCAUUGGAAAGCUAUAUAACCUUGAAUCUCUGUUGGUCUCUGGCGAGCAUUAUGAGCGUGAGGAUAACCAGCAGCUGGGCUCAUUAUCCAAUCCUUUUCAACAUAUUGAGCGUCUUGAAUUGCCUUUUUGGCAGUUAUGGAGAGUUCCAAAAUGGUUGUGUGGUCUCCAUUGCCUGCGCUUCCUUAAGCUGUAUGUUGAAGAGACAUCAACUCAGGAUGUUCAUCUGCUUGGAGAGCUUCCCUCCCUCGUCGACCUGGAACUCUACGCAGGUGAAAUCCCUGAUGUAAGAGCUAUGUUAGGCACGGGGCUAUUCCCAGUUUUGGAGUCCCUAAAAAUCUGGUCUAGUAAAGACGCUACAGUGUACCUGGGCUUCGAGGCAGGUGCUAUGCCCAGUUUACGAACACUCUGGAUCUGUGCGUUCGACUGGGGUGGCACUGUACCAGCCGGCAUGGAGCACUUGUUAUACCUCGAGGAGAUCAAACUGUAUGGGGUCUGCAAUAAUAAGGAUGCCAAGCAUGUGGGCUAA
rnacentral:rRNA from 1 species